GUCGAACGCUGGCGGCGCGCCUAACACAUGCAAGUCGAACGGAGCUGAGAGAAGCUUGCUUUUCUUAGCUUAGUGGCGAACGGGUGAGUAACGCGUGAGUAACCUGCCCUGGAGUGGGGGACAACAGUUGGAAACGACUGCUAAUACCGCAUAAGCCCACGAUCCGGCAUCGGAUUGAGGGAAAAGGAUUUAUUCGCUUCAGGAUGGACUCGCGUCCAAUUAGCUAGUUGGUGAGGUAACGGCCCACCAAGGCGACGAUUGGUAGCCGGACUGAGAGGUUGAACGGCCACAUUGGGACUGAGACACGGCCCAGACUCCUACGGGAGGCAGCAGUGGGGGAUAUUGCACAAUGGGGGAAACCCUGAUGCAGCGACGCCGCGUGGAGGAAGAAGGUUUUCGGAUUGUAAACUCCUGUCGUUAGGGACGAUAAUGACGGUACCUAACAAGAAAGCACCGGCUAACUACGUG
rnacentral:rRNA from 1 species